rnacentral:lncRNA from 1 species
UUUAACCAAAUUUUGUGAAAAGAAAGAGUACAAGGUUGGAGAUGGCCUAACGAUUUGAUAAUAAAACCAGCUCCCAUCCUUUUCUCCCAUUUGUAUCCAACGAAGCGAAAGCCAAAUCCUCAUCAAAUCAAGAAUGAGGAAUAAGAUUGUACUCAAAUUGGAUGAAACCACAAGAUCCAAGGACUUUCAAUGUUCCAAUGACGAAUAAUGAAGACAUGGACG